GGCUUCGGCUCGGGGAUCAGUGGCGAACGGGUGCGUAACACGUGGGCAACCUGCCCCCGACACUGGGAUAACUCCGGGAAACCGGAGCUAAUACCGGAUACUCUCGACCGAUCUCAUGACCGGUCGAGGAAAGGUCCGCCGGUUGGGGAUGGGCCCGCGGCCUAUCAGCUUGUUGGUGAGGUAACGGCUCACCAAGGCGACGACGGGUAGCUGGUCUGAGAGGACGACCAGCCACACUGGGACUGAGACACGGCCCAGACUCCUACGGGAGGCAGCAGUGGGGAAUCUUGCGCAAUGAGCGAAAGCUUGACGCAGCGACGCCGCGUGGGGGAUGAAGGCCCUCGGGUUGUAAACCCCUUUCGGCAGGGACGAAGCGAACGUGACGGUACCUGCAGAAGAAGCCUCGGCUAACUACGUGCCAGCAGCCGCGGUAAGACGUAGGAGGCGAGCGUUGUCCGGAUUCAUUGGGCGUAAAGAGCGCGCAGGCGGCUUGGUAAGUCGGAUGUGAAAACACGAGGCUCAACCUCGUGCCUGCAUCCGAUACUGCCCGGCUAGAGGUAGGUAGGGGAGAUCGGAAUUCCUGGUGUAGCGGUGAAAUGCGCAGAUAUCAGGAGGAACACCGGUGGCGAAGGCGGAUCUCUGGGCCUUACCUGACGCUCAGGCGCGAAAGCUAGGGGAGCGAACAGGAUUAGAUACCCUGGUAGUCCUAGCCGUAAACGUUGGGUGCUAGGUGUGGGCGGAUAUCGACCCCGUCCGUGCCGAAGCUAACGCAUUAAGCACCCCGCCUGGGGAGUACGGCCGCAAGGCUAAAACUCAAAGGAAUUGACGGGUCCCCGCACAAGCGGCGGAGCAUGCGGCUUAAUUCGAUGCGACGCGAAGAACCUUACCUGGGCUUGACAUGCAGGUUGAAA
rnacentral:rRNA from 1 species